UGUCAGCAGCCGCGGUAAUACAUAGGGUGCAAGCGUUGUCCGGAAUUAUUGGGCGUAAAGAGCUCGUAGGUGGUUCGAUACGUCGGAUGUGAAAAUCAGGGGCUCAACCCCUGACCUGCAUCCGAUACGGUCGAGCUAGAGUUUGGUAGGGGAGACUGGAAUUCCUGGUGUAGCGGUGGAAUGCGCAGAUAUCAGGAGGAACACCGAUGGCGAAGGCAGGUCUCUGGGCCAAUACUGACACUGAGGAGCGAAAGCGUGGGGAGCGAACAGGAUUAGAUACCCUGGUAGUCCACGCCGUAAACGGUGGGCGCUAGUUGUGCGAACCUUCCACGGUUUGUGCGACGCAGCUAACGCAUUAAGCGCCCCGCCUGGGGAGUACGAUCGCAAGAUUAAAACUUAAAGAAAUUGGCGG
rnacentral:rRNA from 1 species